rnacentral:tRNA from 1 species
CAAAUUAAAGCUUAAUUAAGUAUUUCAUUUACCUUGAAAAGGUUAUUGUUUUACAAUUAGUUUGA